GGUUAAGCGACUAAGCGUACACGGUGGAUGCCCUGGCAGUCAGAGGCGAUGAAGGACGUGCUAAUCUGCGAAAAGCGUCGGUAAGGUGAUAUGAACCGUUAUAACCGGCGAUGUCCGAAUGGGGAAACCCAGUGCAAUUCGUUGCACUAUCGUUAACUGAAUACAUAGGUUAACGAGGCGAACCGGGGGAACUGAAACAUCUAAGUACCCCGAGGAAAAGAAAUCAACCGAGAUUCCCCCAGUAGCGGCGAGCGAACGGGGAGCAGCCCAGAGUCUGAAUCAGCUUGUGUGUUAGUGGAACGGUCUGGAAAGUCCGACGGUACAGGGUGAUAGUCCCGUACACCAAAAUGCACAGGCUGUGAACUCGAAGAGUAGGGCGGGACACGUGGUAUCCUGUCUGAAUAUGGGGGGACCAUCCUCCAAGGCUAAAUACUCCUGACUGACCGAUAGUGAACCAGUACCGUGAGGGAAAGGCGAAAAGAACCCCGGCGAGGGGAGUGAAAAAGAACCUGAAACCGUGUACGUACAAGCAGUGGGAGCACCUUCGGGUGUGACUGCGUACCUUUUGUAUAAUGGGUCAGCGACUUAUAUUCUGUAGCAAGGUUAACCGUAUAGGGGAGCCGCAGGGAAACCGAGUCUUAACUGGGCGUUAAGUUGCAGGGUAUAGACCCGAAACCCGGUGAUCUAGCCAUGGGCAGGUUGAAGGUUGGGUAACACUAACUGGAGGACCGAACCGACUAAUGUUGAAAAAUUAGCGGAUGACUUGUGGCUGGGGGUGAAAGGCCAAUCAAACCGGGAGAUAGCUGGUUCUCCCCGAAAGCUAUUUAGGUAGCGCCUCGUGAACUCAUCUUCGGGGGUAGAGCACUGUUUCGGCUAGGGGGUCAUCCCGACUUACCAACCCGAUGCAAACUACGAAUACCGAAGAAUGUUAUCACGGGAGACACACGGCGGGUGCUAACGUCCGUCGUGAAGAGGGAAACAACCCAGACCGCCAGCUAAGGUCCCAAAGUCAUGGUUAAGUGGGAAACGAUGUGGGAAGGCACAGACAGCCAGGAUGUUGGCUUAGAAGCAGCCAUCAUUUAAAGAAAGCGUAAUAGCUCACUGGUCGAGUCGGCCUGCGCGGAAGAUGUAACGGGGCUAAACCAUGCACCGAAGCUGCGGCAGCGACACUAUGUGUUGUUGGGUAGGGGAGCGUUCUGUAAGCCUGCGAAGGUGACCUGUGAGGGUUGCUGGAGGUAUCAGAAGUGCGAAUGCUGACAUAAGUAACGAUAAAGCGGGUGAAAAGCCCGCUCGCCGGAAGACCAAGGGUUCCUGUCCAACGUUAAUCGGGGCAGGGUGAGUCGACCCCUAAGGCGAGGCCGAAAGGCGUAGUCGAUGGGAAACAGGUUAAUAUUCCUGUACUUGGUGUUACUGCGAAGGGGGGACGGAGAAGGCUAUGUUAGCCGGGCGACGGUUGUCCCGGUUUAAGCAUGUAGGCUGAUUGUCCAGGCAAAUCCGGAUAAUCAAGGCUGAGGUGUGAUGACGAGGUACUACGGUGCUGAAGUAACAAAUGCCCUGCUUCCAGGAAAAGCCUCUAAGCAUCAGGUAACAUCAAAUCGUACCCCAAACCGACACAGGUGGUCAGGUAGAGAAUACCAAGGCGCUUGAGAGAACUCGGGUGAAGGAACUAGGCAAAAUGGUGCCGUAACUUCGGGAGAAGGCACGCUGGUGUGUAGGUGAAGCCCCUGCGGGUGGAGCUGAGACCAGUCGAAGAUACCAGCUGGCUGCAACUGUUUAUUAAAAACACAGCACUGUGCAAACACGAAAGUGGACGUAUACGGUGUGACGCCUGCCCGGUGCCGGAAGGUUAAUUGAUGGGGUUAUCCGUAAGGAGAAGCUCUUGAUCGAAGCCCCGGUAAACGGCGGCCGUAACUAUAACGGUCCUAAGGUAGCGAAAUUCCUUGUCGGGUAAGUUCCGACCUGCACGAAUGGCGUAAUGAUGGCCAGGCUGUCUCCACCCGAGACUCAGUGAAAUUGAACUCGCUGUGAAGAUGCAGUGUACCCGCGGCAAGACGGAAAGACCCCGUGAACCUUUACUAUAGCUUGACACUGAACAUUGAGCCUUGAUGUGUAGGAUAGGUGGGAGGCUUUGAAGCGUGGACGCCAGUCUGCGUGGAGCCAACCUUGAAAUACCACCCUUUAAUGUUUGAUGUUCUAACGUUGGCCCCUUACCGGGGUUGCGGACAGUGUCUGGUGGGUAGUUUGACUGGGGCGGUCUCCUCCCAAAGCGUAACGGAGGAGCACGAAGGUUAGCUAAUCCUGGUCGGACAUCAGGAGGUUAGUGCAAUGGCAUAAGCUAGCUUGACUGCGAGCGUGACGGCGCGAGCAGGUGCGAAAGCAGGUCAUAGUGAUCCGGUGGUUCUGAAUGGAAGGGCCAUCGCUCAACGGAUAAAAGGUACUCCGGGGAUAACAGGCUGAUACCGCCCAAGAGUUCAUAUCGACGGCGGUGUUUGGCACCUCGAUGUCGGCUCAUCACAUCCUGGGGCUGAAGUAGGUCCCAAGGGUAUGGCUGUUCGCCAUUUAAAGUGGUACGCGAGCUGGGUUUAGAACGUCGUGAGACAGUUCGGUCCCUAUCUGCCGUGGGCGCUGGAGAAUUGAGGGGGGCUGCUCCUAGUACGAGAGGACCGGAGUGGACGCAUCACUGGUGUUCGGGUUGUCAUGCCAAUGGCACUGCCCGGUAGCUAAAUGCGGAAGAGAUAAGUGCUGAAAGCAUCUAAGCACGAAACUUGCCCCGAGAUGAGUUCUCCCUGAGACUUUAAGUCUCCUGAAGGAACGUUAAAGACGAUGACGUUGAUAGGCCGGGUGUGUAAGCGCAGCGAUGCGUUGAGCUAACCGGUACUAAUGAACCGUGAGGCUUAACCUU
rnacentral:rRNA from 1 species